rnacentral:rRNA from 1 species
AGAGUUUGAUCCUGGCUCAGGACGAACGCUGGCGGCGUGGAUUAGGCAUGCAAGUCGAGCGACGAACCUUCGGGUUACGGAGCGGCGAACGGGUGAGUAACACGUGAAUAACCUACCCUCUCAUUCCGGAUAAUUGGCCGAAAGGCCUUGUAAUACGGGGGAGGUUCCGAUUUAGGCAUCUUUAUCGGAACGAACAAGCAAUUGGUGCGAGGAGGGGUUCGCGGAUUAUCAGCUAGUUGGUGAGGUAACGGCUCACCAAGGCUACGACGAUUAGGUGGUCUGAGAGGAUGGUCACCCACAUUGGAACUGAGAUACUGUCCAGACUCUUACGGGAGGCUGCAGUCGAGAAUCUUGGGCAAUGCACGAAAGUGUGACCCAGCGACGCCGCGUGGAGGAUGAAGGCCCUCUGGGUUGUAAACUCCUUUUACGGGAGAAGAAUCAAUGACGGUAUCCCGUGAAUAAGCCACGGCUAACUACGUGCCAGCAGCCGCGGUAAUACGUAGGUGGCAAGCGUUGUCCGGAUUUACUGGGCGUAAAGCGAACGCAGGCGGACUUUUAAGUAGGAAGUGAAAGGUCGGAGCUCAACUCCAACAUUGCUCCCUAUACUGGAAGUCUUGAGUAGCGGAGAGGAAGGGGGAACGACACGUGUAGCGGUGAAAUGCGUUGAUAUGUGUCGGAACACCCAUGGCGAAAGCACCCUUCUGGACGCAAACUGACGCUCAGGUUCGAAAGCCAAGGUAGCGAACAGGAUUAGAUACCCUGGUAGUCUUGGCCCUAAACUAUGUUCACUAGGUGUCGGGGGGUUUCCUUCGGUGCCGCAGCUAACGCAUUAAGUGAACCGCCUGGGGACUACGGCCGCAAGGUUGAAACUCAAGGAAUUGGCGGGGGCCCGCACAAGCGGUGGAGCAUAUGGCUUAUUCGAUGCAACGCGA